rnacentral:rRNA from 1 species
AGUUUGAUCCUGGCUUAGGACGAACGCUGGCGGCGUGCCUAAUACAUGCAAGUCGAACGGUCUUUUCUAUGGAAGCUUGCUUCCACUGAGAAGAUAGUGGCGAACGGGUGAGUAACACGUGGGUAACCUGCCCAUAAGAGGGGGGAUAACAUCCGGAAACGGGUGCUAAUACCGCAUAGUUUUCUUGGUCGCAUGAUCGGGAAAGGAAAGACGGCCUUUGUGCUGUCGCUUAUGGAUGGACCCGCGGCGUAUUAGUUAGUUGGUGAGGUAACGGCUCACCAAGACGAUGAUACGUAGCCGACCUGAGAGGGUGAUCGGCCACAUUGGGACUGAGACACGGCCCAAACUCCUACGGGAGGCAGCAGUAGGGAAUCUUCCGCAAUGGACGAAAGUCUGACGGAGCAACGCCGCGUGAGUGAAAGAAGGUUUUCGGAUCGUAAAACUCUGUUGUCAGAGAAGAACAAGUUGGAGAGUAACUGCUCCAGCCUUGACGGUAUCUGACCAGAAAGCCACGGCUAACUACGUGCCAGCCGCGGC